ACCCGAGAUAGAUAUAGAGCAGAUAUAGAUAUGGGUUUUUUCCUAACGGGAUGGAUAUAGAUAUCAGUCGAUCCGAUCUAUUCCCACUCGUACUAGCAAGUAAAUGUUGCAAUGGUGGCAAGGAGGUUGACCAGCUAGUUUUCAAGUUGGCAAAGUUCUUGCUAUAUCCUUCAAAUCCCUCAAAUGGAGGGCCAGGCGCCAAGUGAUCCAAUGACCCACGAAAUAAUGCCUGUUAAGCAUUCACCCCACUUUUUCUACAUGUGAAUCCACAUGCUUGGAUUAGCAUUAAGGUUUACCAU
rnacentral:lncRNA from 1 species